CCAGCAGCUGCGGUAAUUCCAGCUCCAAUAGCGUAUAUUAAAGUUGUUGCAGUUAAAAAGCUCGUAGUUGGAUGUGUGGGCGCGCGCGGCGGCCGGGCCCCCCGUAGGGGGGCGCUCGCGCCAGCCCGUGGCGCGUCCAUCCUCGCGGGGAGGGCGCCUGGCAUUCACUUGUUGGGCGUCGGACCCGCGUCGUUUACUGUGAAAAAAUUAGAGUGUUUCAAGCAGGCGGAGCAUCGGCUUGGAUACUUCAGCAUGGAAUAAUGAGAUAGGACCAUGGCAUCUAUUUCGUUGGUUUGCGAGCCAGGGUAAUGAUUAACAGGGACAGUUGGGGGUAUUCAUAUUUGGUUGUCAGAGGUGAAAUUCUUGGAUUUACCAAAGAUGAACGAGUGCGAAAGCAUUUACCAAGGAUGUUUUCAUUAAUCAAGAACGAAAGU
rnacentral:rRNA from 1 species